rnacentral:lncRNA from 1 species
UAUAAAUAACUAUAGAGUAAUUUGCAUCUAGAGGUUUAGCAACCUAACAAAGUGAGUAAGAGAGAUGACAAAGAAGGGUCCUUUGAAUUUGAGACUUUUGCUCUUGCUUCUAGUGGUUCUUUUGCCCUCAUGCUCUAAUUGUGCUCUUACGUCUUCACAAGAAUUACGCCCAUCAUCAGGUUAGUCUUGACUCUUGAGACCUAUCCUAAUAUUCUUAAAUCGAGUGCUAGCAAAAAGUUUUUUUUAAAAAAGGUGCAAAUAUGAUCCUUCCGGAGUACCAAUAUAGGGUGACUAUUUUGCUAGUUUUAGGAUAUUAAUUAUUUUGUCCAUUUUCAUAAUUUGAGUUUUCGUUAGGUUCAUUUUUUUUUGUUUUUGGUUUACUGAAAUUAAAAAUCAAUGAGAUACCAAAACUCAUUUGAUUAGUCUAGUUGGACAUCGUUUCGAUUUUGGUUUUGGUAGUUUUAAUAAUAUUUUUACAUUUUUUUUUUUUUUUUACAUUUGUUUUUAGAAAGUUUAUUUCUAUUGUUUUAGUUUAAUUUCAUUUUGCAUUAGUUAGUAACUGGAAAAAAUAUUAUUCAGUGGGAUCUAGCUUUCGCUAUGUGUUUCCGAAAUAUACUUAUAAAUAAGAUAUUUAGAAUUUAUAUAUUUAACUUGAUUAUUUUGUUUUCUGUGUUUUUUUUUUUCUUUUUUUGAAAGCAAGAUAUAAAUAAAUUCAUUAGUUUUGAUGAAAAAAAUAAAAUGUUAAAAUCUUUUUAUUUUAUUAUGGAUUUGUCUUAUUAUAUGGUUUUUGUUUGGCUCAGUUCAGGUAAUAUAUAUUGGACUAUGCUCAUCCCAUUGUGAAUUAGAUUCAGUAACAUUAUGCCAUAUAAAUGUUUAAUAAGUUAGCCAUAUAUUUCUCUGAAAUUAAAGUAAUGAUAUCUAUGAAAAGUGAAAAUAAUUUUUUUUUUAGUCAUUAAUUUAACUAUAAAUUAAAUAGAAUGGAGAAGAAAGAUGAUAACAGUAUGGUCGAAGAGCUCGUAUUAGGAGUGCUCCUCCAUUGCCGUCCUUUUACCCACCACCGUCAGCAGUUUACAUGAAACGACACAUAUAGAUACCAAAAAAGAAUGUCAAGAAUAUGCUUAAGUGUUACAGAUACUCGUUGUAAGAAGGAAAAAAGUGUUACAGAUAUUCUGAAGCAUUUAGGAGGUCUGAAAAAAAUGCAGCUGGCUUAACUUAGCGUACCAAGAACUCCGUUUGAUUCCAGUUAAGGUACAAGAUCCUCUAGGAAGCUAACAAGUAUCCCUCUCUCACUUGUUACAUGUGUACUGCCUCACGUGUGUGAUUGUUAGAGGAUAAGCCAUUUGUAGAUCCUUGAAAAGCUCCAUCGCUUCUCCUUUCAUUUGUACGUACGCAUCUUUUAAAUAAAAAGGAAAGUUUAGUUUAUUGAUUCAAGUUUCUCCUUUUUUCUCUUGGAAUAACUUAGUGUUGUACAGAUUCCCUUCACUAGUAUUCUGUUAAAUCCCUUCACUAAUAUUCUGUUAAAUCUAUUUUUUUGUGCUGAUCUCCUGAGGCAAAGUUUGUGAACUUAUCAUAAAGGUUUUCACACCCUUGAAUGUUAUUCCUUGAUUAACCUACUACCUUUCAUCCGCUACCUAAGGAACUUAACCUGUGAACUUGUGACAAAAAGUCGAGUAUCUUCUUUGGAGCUUACAUCACACACCAUAGACUUAUCAUAUGAUACUUCAUCGAUCAAUGGCUUCACAACUAUAUUCGCGAAUCUCCAUUAUAUUGGAACAAUUAGUGAGCAUCAACGAUGAUUGAACGCAUAUGAAAAGAUAGAAAAAUCUAGCUUUUAUUUAUAGAUCGAGGUAUGUGAAAAAAAACAAAAAAUUAUUUGAAUGAAGUAACAAAACAACAAUUAGUGAGCAUCAAUUAUUUCUUUUUCAAUAGUUCAUUACUUCAUUCACAUAGUUGAUCCUCACUAAUUGUUGGUUUGUCGUAUGGAAACCUUACUUCAUUCACAUAGUUACCCAAAAUCUAUAUUGGUUCCUUUUUUUUACCAAAUAUACACUAAAAUAUUCAGAAAAAAGCUAAAACAUUGGUUAUUUUUACUCAAAUAUACGCAAAUAUUUCUGAAUUACUCGAAAAUAUCUAUAUAUUCGGAUUUAUAAUUGUUAUGUUAGGUAUUUGGUGUAUUAUAAGCAUAAAUUUAACUAAUAUUUUUAGGUGUAUACUUGUAUGUCAGAUACAUACGGAUAGCCAAAAGUAUUAGAUUCGGGUUAGAUUGUUUUGGAUAGAGAGACUUAGGACCCAUUCAUGUAUUUUUAAACAACGGUUCGGUUCGAUUUUGGUAUUUUCAGGUCUUUGGUUCCUAUUUGUUUGCCCAAAGCUACUAAUCAAAAUCAUGCCUUUUAAUAUAUAAGCAUAUGUAAAAUAUUGAUGUAUUUGCAAUAAUUAAUAAGGUGUAUAAUUUGAACACACCAAAAAAAUAAGGUGUACAAUUUGAUAUAUGUAAUUUAGAGGUGAUGUUUUAACUUUUUUUAUUUCCCUCUUACUCAGAAGAAAUUAGAGGCAUUUAUUCAACAAAACACAAUAAAAACAUAUAUAUUUUACUUUGCCUUUCUCAUUUCACCUUUGGAACAUUGUAGUCCUUCAUAUAUAUUAGUAAAUAAUACAUAUGUAAAUCAUAAGAUUCAUAACCUCAAACAUAUGUUUAAAACAAUUAAACAAAAAAAUUAGUAGAUUUCAGGAGUAUAGUCUUGAACUCUUGAUAAUUGAACGUUCAAAAAUAUCAAAAAUUUAUUUUUAAAAACCGAAAAAUAAAGGACUAGAGGCUUGUUAUUUUGUUAAAGGAUAUCAUGACUAGAAGUUGUAGUCCCGUAGUGAUAUAGCUUUUUUAUUUUAUUCUAGAUAUACGUCUGAUUGUGUGUGUACAUGUGUUGUAGACACGAAAAAAAAACCUUAACUAUAAAUAAAAAAUAUGAUACAACAUGGUUUUGUAUAACAAAAUACUUAUAAAACUCUCUUGACCUCUUAUCCUGCACUAUGAUGACUUAUGGCUUAUGGGCCUUUAUCUUUAGGCGAUGCAGAGUGAAACGAAGCGAUAGGAGGUUUGACGAUGCCACGGAGAGGUGGAGGGGGAGGAGGAAGAGGAACGCAAUCCAAACGCAAUUUGUUCCUUUCUAACAAU